rnacentral:tRNA from 1 species
UGGUUCCGCCCGGGAUCGAACCGAGAACCUUUCGCGUGUAAAGCGAACGUGAUAACCACUACACCACGAAACC